AAUCAACGCUGGCGGCGUGCCUCAGACAUGCAAGUCGAACGAUUAAACUUUCCUUCGGGAAGAUAUAGAGUGGCGCACGGGUGAGUAACACGUAAGUAAUCUACCCUUGGGUGGGAGUAACAUCGGGAAACCGAUGCUAAUACCGCAUAAUGCAGCGGCUUCUUAUGAAGACAGUUGUUAAAGCAUUUAUGUGCCUGAGGAGGAGCUUGCGGCAGAUUAGCUAGUUGGUAAGGUAAUGGCUUACCAAGGCGACGAUCUGUAGCCGACCUGAGAGGGUGGUCGGUCACACUGACACUGAAUAACGGGUCAGACUCCUACGGGAGGCAGCAGUCGGGAAUUUUGGGCAAUGGCGCAAGCCUGACCCAGCAACGCCGCGUGAAGGAUGAAGUAUUUCGGUAUGUAAACUUACGU
rnacentral:rRNA from 1 species